CCUACGGGUGGCAGCAGUAGGGAAUGUUGCGCAAUGGGCGAAAGCCUGACGCAGCAACGCCGCGUGAACGAGACGGACUUCGGGGUGUAAAGUUCUGUAAGUGGGGACGAAAGAUGACGGUACCCACAGAGGAAGCACCGGCGAACGCCGUGCCAGCAGCCGCGGUAAUACGGAGGGUGCAAGCGUGGUCCGGAAUCAUUGGGCGUCAAGAGUUCGUAGGCGGGAUGUGAAGUCGGGUGUUAAAUGCAGAAGCUCAACUUCUGUUCGGCACUGGAUACUGGCAAACUAGACUGCGGUAGAGGUAACGGGAAUUCCUGGUGUCGCGGUGAAAUGCUUAGAUCUCAGGAGGCACCUCGGUGGCGUACGCGCUUUACUGGGCCGUACUUGACGCUGAGGAACGAAAGCCCGGGUAGCAAAUGGGAUUAGAUACCCUUGUAGUC
rnacentral:rRNA from 1 species